UGCCAGCCGCCGCGGUAAUACGGAGGGGGUUAGCGUUGUUCGGAAUUACUGGGCGUAAAGCGCGCGUAGGCGGUUCGUUAAGUCUGAUGUGAAAGCCCGGGGCUCAACCCCGGAAGUGCAUUGGAAACUGGCGAACUUGAGUACGGGAGAGGAAAGUGGAAUUCCGAGUGUAGGGGUGAAAUCCGUAGAUAUUCGGAGGAACACCAAACGCGAAGGCAUUCUACUGGGCAUUACCUGACGCUAAGGGACGAAAGUGUGGGGAGCAAACGGGAUUAGAUA
rnacentral:rRNA from 1 species